rnacentral:lncRNA from 1 species
GAAGGCUGAUUUAAUACCUUAGGAGUCCUUGACUUGAUGUUAAUGGAAUUUGUGAACAAGUACUUACCAAUAGAAAGGACCACAAUCCACAACCAAUAAUGGCCUUGGUUUUUCAGAAACCAGUAAAAAUAAAUAGGCCACAAACUUCAUACUUAGAUUAAGCAAACACAUAGUUGCACUACGUUUUCUUAACAGAAUUUGUCCUUCACAACAAGAACAUUACUUACACAAAAAUUUACAUACACAAAGCCUUCUUUCUUAUCAGUAUGGCCAAAUUAAAGCGAUGCAAAACUACAAAUAAGUCCACUAAAAACGAUUGAUAAACAGAAAAUAAGCAACUUAGUACCGAAAAUGAUUUAAACCUGCGAUACAAAUGCGGAUGGGCAUGGUGGAACUUUUACUUCCACCACUCCUUCAAGCAUCUGAACAACCUUCUUCAUAUUCGGUCUAACAGAAGGGUCUUCUUGAAUACACCAAAUAGCAACCAUCACAAACUUUUCCAGUGUCGUUUUAUCACCCAAGGCCUGAACUUCAUAAUCUACAACAGCAUCUAAUUCUCCUUCAAGGUAGCAAUCGUAGACCCAGUCCGUUAAUAUUACUUUCUCUUCGCAGUUAUUUUCCACAUCAACGCUUCUCCUACAACAAAUGAUCUCAAGCAGCACAACACCAAAGCUGUACACAUCAACUUUGGUAGUGAUUGGCAUGUUCCUAAACCACUCAGGUGCAACAUACCCUUUUGUUCCUCUAAUGGCAGUAUGAGUCUUGCUCUGAUUCAUCAUCAAAAGCUUUGCCAAUCCAAAGUCAGAGAUUCGAGCAGUGUAAUAAUCGUCAAGCAGUAUGUUCUGAGGCUUUAUAUCACAAUGGAUAAUUUGAGUACCGCAGUCUUCAUGCGAGUACAGAAGUCCUCUGGAAACUCCAUAAGCAAUUUCAAUUCGUUGUCUCCAACUCGGUUUGAUAUCAGUAAAAAGGAAGCUUGCUAAUGUGCCCUUGCUUAAGAACUCGUAUACUAGCAAUCGAUGUUGCCCUUCGUCACAAUACCCAACCAGGCAAACUAGAUUCUUGUGAUGUGUCUUACCAAUUACUCGCAGUUCUGUCUUGAAUUCCUUCUCACCAUCUUGUAUCACACCGUUUAGCUUCUUCACUGCCACUUGGACACCAGAACCAAUUUGUAUUGUCCCUUUGUAAACAACUCCGAAGGUACCUCUUCCUAAUUCUUCUGUGAAUCCAUUUGUAGCUUCUUGAAGCUCUUGGUAACUAAAAGAAUGCAAAUUUGAGUCCAAAAUAUUUUCGACAGACCUUACAUGUUUCUUCCGGAAAACAAAGAAAAAUCCCCGACAAGCAGCAGCACUAAACAUAAAACUAACAAAGAUAGAGGCAGCCAGAAUUAUAGACUCCACGCAUAUCACAGUGUUACUGCUCUUCUUCUUCGUCUUCUUGUCAUCUGGAUUUGGCAUUGGAGGAAAUUGUAGAGUUGAAUUGUCCUUUCUGACUUUGAUGAAGGCUUGUGAAUUAAGAUUUACAUCCACUCUCCCAUUUGAGAGAGGUAACUUCUUUUUCCAACAGGUUUCAGACCGGAAAAUAGCAACAGCACACAAACAAUCUUGAAAGCAAGAUUCAUUGCACCUCUCUGCAGUAAAAGGAUAUACCUUUACAUAAUCUGAGGUUGGCCAAUCUGUAUUUGUUAGCACCUCAACAUCAUAUAAAUAUUUUGUGCCACUAAGCUCAUCUUCUUCACAGCCUUGUAUGAAAUCCGGUUUGCAUCCCCGGUAUGGAUCAUUUGGAUCAAGUAAAGAGAACCCUUUUGGGCAUCCACAGGUUGGCCUCUUAUCUUUGAGAGUGCAGAUACUGUUGUACCCACAAACACCAACACCUGAAUCUUCUCUAUUUCUUUGGCAAAUAUCAUCUGGCUCUGACCACCGAAGAGUCCAGCUCACAUUUCCAGUGAAAUUCUUGGGGUGAUAAUAUUGAGCAAAAAUCCCAUCAAAGUUGAGAGUUGCUCUAAUAUAGUUGUCCCUUGCUGAGACUACCUCUUCCCCUGCAAGAUUGUACUUUCCACCAUUCUCUCUCAGAACAUACAAGUAGCCUGAGACAUUGAAAACCAAUUCUUUACCUUCACUACCUGCCACAGUCCCUGAGGUAGUGUCGGUUGAAUAGUAAGGUUCAUUGGCAAAUUCUGUUGGCAAGUUUAUGGUGCUGAUUACAAGGUUCCCAUCUCCUUGCAGAAGCAGCUGGAACCGUCCUUUCAAAUAGUUAGUCUCCGAUUGUCGAGACGAAAGCGUCCCACUUCUUUCAAUUUUCUGUCCAGGCAACAAGGUAUCUGUAGGAUUGUUGAAGGUCUCCCAUAAGCUUUCUGAAUUUCUAUCUUGAAGAACAAAGUUGCCUGUAUCAUUCAUGACCCCAUUAGCAACAACACCAACACUGAUUUCAGAUUUCCAUAGCUCUUCACCUUGAGGACUUUUAAGCACUAGACCGCUGUUGGCAGUCAAGUUCACAGUUGACCCCUUGGGUGCAACUGCAGCCUCAUUAUCCCGAUCUGCAUACCAAACUAUGGUUCUGUCUGGUAUUUUGGCAUACCAUAUUGAGAGCAGGAAAAGACCAUUGCUUCCAAGUGGAAAAAAUCCAAAGGCAAAAUCACCAGAUGGAGAAAGCCAUGGUGAGGAGUUAGCUGCAGUUGCAGUUAGGGAAUCCCCCACUGCUAUGCUGCCGUUAGUUUGAGCAAACACAGAAACUGGUAGCAGAAACAGACAGGAAAACAGAAGCAGCCGUACAGUAAAAGCCAUUGCUAAUUUUCUAGCACCAAUGUGGUUAGGCAUACUACAAUAUCGUAGCCUAGCUAUUUUAUAAUGAAGAAUGGGACCAUGGCCCUUGCUUCCUUGAAAUUUCUUGCUAUAAAUGCGCGUGCCACAUCUUAAUGAAGCAUGAGACGUGCUCAUUUCUAGUUUGUGUAUACUAAUCUAUAUUAACCAUACACUACGACACGAACUUAAAGACCCUCGCUACCGGUCACACACAAAAAUUUCUCAAAUGACACAUUUUCUCCUUCUAACAGCUUAGUUUGAAAGGCAAAUAUGUCAUUCAAUAGCAAGAAUUUCUCACAAAAUAUUCUCUUGUUAUUUUAUUCUCAAAAUUUGUGUUCAUGAACCGUUUUAUAAUUCUACUAAUUAUGUUCGUAUGUGUACUUGGUAUGAUGUUACGUUGACCUUUCUGUUAUAUAUAUAUACACACACACACACAAAAAAAAAGCUUCAGUGGAGAAUUCCUCAAAUAAUAUUUGAGGGGCACAUUUGUAGGACACACCACAUAUUGUAUUUCAAUAAUCCAAAACUGUCUAGUUUUUAGAUAUUCUCUUUCAAAUAUCAUCUCCAAAAAAUAUUUUUUUUUUUCUGCUAAAAUUUUGCUUCUUGUCUUUGUUGUUGUACCUUUAUGAAUAUUUCUCUGUUGUGGUGGUAGAAAACAUUUAGGCCAUGUUUGGUAUGCUUCACUAUGCCUCACUGGACUGGAUUGGAUUAAACAAUACUUGAAACCCAUGUUUGGUAAGGGAGGGGAUUAUCUUAAAUGAGAUUAUAUAGUCCAAUAGUUAAAAAAAGCCCGGACUCACACAGCUAAUAUAGUGAGCCCAAAAUUGGGUUCGCAAAAUAGGACGCUCGCUAUUUUGAACACGCGAGUCCGACUUCCUUAUCGCUUGAAUCAAAACCCCACCACAGAUCCAAUCAAUGAAACCCAACGCUCAUCGCUCUACCCUGGAUUUCUUCUCAGAACGAUCUCUCUUUGCACCCCAGCAACUAGCAGAACCCAAAACCAUCUCUUUUCGCCAUCUGAGUCCAAUUCGUAGUAGUUCCAAAGAAAAAAAGAAAAGCAAAAAAUAAUGAAACCAGAAACAGAGAGAAGAAAGAAGGAAAAAGGAAGAAAAGAAAAGAAGAAAAAAAUAUGGGUCUGUGUAAUUAUGAUACUGCUCCUAUUUGGGUAGCUUCCUUACUUACUGAUGAUGUUUUGGGGAUGUCUAGAAUCCGCUUGAUUUGUGUUGAGUCGGCUUAGAUCGUUUUCAUUCGAACGCACCAUCCAUUGAGCGCAGACAAUGAAGACGGCAAUGCUGGAAAAAAUGGAGCCAUCUUGCUGUUGUUGCCAAAUUGCUCAUCUUGGAUUACAGGUUUUGAUGCGCUGCUUGGUGGAGACCACAAAAAAAUGAGGACGGGCUGGGAAGAGAACAGGAGAACAAGAAGAAAGGAAAGGGAAAAAAAAAAAAAGGACGGGCUGGGAAGGAAAGGUAGAAGAAAAGGAGAAAAAAGGAAAAAAUGAAGAAAGGAUAAGAUAGUUUGGCUUUUAAAAAAUAUUAAAAUUUAUUUGUUUUAUUAUUAUUUAUUUUAAGGUCAUCCUUAAUUAAAAGUAAAUAUUAGAAUUUUAUUUAUUUAUAAUUAAAAUUAAUUAUUAAAAUAAUUAUUUUUUACUCCGACACAACUCCAAACAUAGGUCUUCACUAUUUUCACAAUCCAGCUUCUUAGUCCGACGCAGCACCAAACAUAGGUCAGUACUUAAUCCAGCUUAGUCCAGUCCGAGCUAAUCCAAAACAGUUCCAGGAUUUAGUCCAGUCCAUGACAGUCCGCCGUACCAAACGACCCCUUACCUCUACUUCUCAUCUUUGUUGUAAAUUUUCCUUCUUUCCUCCCUUCUAGCUAAAAAUAUGGAAAGUUGUAUAGAUAGAAAGAAAAAAAAAAAAAGACGGAUACAGCUGGAAAGGAGUCAUAAAAGGGGUGCUGUCAAAUCUGAGCUUAGAGUUUGUGAGGGUAGGGGGGAAGUAGGACAGAAUUGGAAAAAGAUGGAAGAAAGACCCCAUCAAGUGAAGACUACAAAGUCUUCAAGUGGAUGAGAUUUUGAAUGUGAGAUAUUUAGGCUCAUUUGGUAAUGUUUUAAGGGGUUGUUUUUAUUUUUAGAUAACAAAAAUGAGGCAAAAACACGUUCGGUAGCCAAAAAACAGAAAACACGGAAAAUGAUGUGUACUUGUAGAAAACAGAAAAAAAUUGUUUUCAUUCUCAUGGGAAACGUUGUCAUAAAAUAAAUAAAAGUAAAAAAUAUCUUCUGCGUCCGUGUCUCUAUAUUCUUAGUCAUAUGUUCUUUGCCCCAGCUUACCUCUAACUAAAGUUUCUAGUCUCUGAUCUAUUAUGGUCAUGCCCAUAAAGUAAUCCAAGUUGGGCACGACAAAGAACACGACCCACGGACACGAAUUUUCCACCAUGGUUCCAAGGGCAGAACAGAGAAUACGACCUGCUAACACGAAUUUGCCACCCUAGCUCCAAGGACAUAAACAAAGAACAAGACCCGCUAACACGAAUUUACCACCCUAGCUCCAAGGACACAAACAAAGAACAUGAUCCACUGCCGCUGACACGAAUUUUCCACCAUGGUUCCAAGGGCACGACAAAGAACACGACCCGCUAACACGAAUUUGCCACCCUAGCUCCAAGGACACGACAAAGAACAUGACCCACUGACACGAAUUUUCCACCCUUCCAAGCCAAAAUAUGUAAUAAAUAUGAGCUUGUUAACCAUUUAAGUGUAGCAGUCAAAAUUCAAUAGUAAUAAAUAUGAGCGUUGCUACGUAACUCUAAUUUGAUUAUUUGAAGUUGAAGCCAAUUGCCAAUGAAAUCUACGACGCAAUGUUUCUUAACAAAAAUUUAUCAUUUCCAUUACAUAAAUAGAGCAUUCUUUCUUAACCCUCAACCCUAUCACCUUUGGUACUUUAUAUUUUUUUUCUUCUAACAUUAUUGGUCCUUUGUAUUUUUUAAAAAUAGUUUAACAUUUAAAAUCUUUUAGAAAAAAUUUAAUUGAAAAAGAUAAUUUUUUCAAAAAAUAAUUUUUUUUUAAAUUCAAAUCCACUUGGCAUGUUAUAAUUGGACAUAUAGGCUCUAUAUACAUGUUAUGUCAAAUUCGUUAUGUUAUGUUACAAUUUCUAUUAAAUUGAUGAAAAUUUCAACAGAACCUAACAGAUUUGACGUGACAUGUAUGUAGAGCCUACAUGUCCAAUAAUAACAUGCCAAGUGGAUUUGAAUUAUAAAAAAAAUAUUUUUGGAAUGUCUCUCUUUUUAAAAAAAAUUUAAAAAAAAAUUUAAAAUGUUAAACUAUUUUUUAAAGGGUUUAGAGUUUUUCAACAAAACAUAAUGGAUUUGACGCGACAUGUAUAUGGAGCCUACAUAUCCAUUAAUAACAUGCCAAGUGGAUUUGAAUAAAAAAUGUAUGUUUUGAAAAUUUUCUCUUGUUUAAAAAAAAUUUAAAAAAGAUUUUAAAUGUUAAACUAUUUAAAUGCUGCUAUUUUCACCCCCUUGUCCUAUUUUCCCAUCCACCUUAUUUUCUCACCCACUAUAUGAAUUUGGAAAAACACAAUCCUAUCUUCCACCAACCAUUAUCCUUAUGCUAGAGAGACCAUCUUUUUUGUACCACAAUUAUAUACCAUCAGACGUGGCAUGCCAAAUCAUUUAAUAUAGUUAUAUAUAUUUUAAAUUUUUAUUCUCCCCUAAUUAAAGCACAAAAGUCAUUAAAUAUAGCUAAAUCUAUUUUAUUAUCCCCUAAUGACAGCACAAUUACCGAUACCGAUAGGAGUCUUUCUAUCUUCACUCUGUCUUCUUCCUUCUCCCUACACUGUUUUCUCCACAACAAUUUUAUGAUUGCCGGAUUUUUCAUGGGUGUUAAACACAGAAUCAACCCCUUUCCUCAUGUUGGCUGCCAUUUUUGGUUCUUUGUCUCUUAUGGCCUGCAACUAGUGGUCAAUUUCGCAGUAAAAAAAAAAAAAAAAAACUAGUUGCUAAAAUGUGGUGGAAAAAGCAAUUAAUCUGAUAAAAACUUGGGAGAUUCACUAUAAUACCCAAUAUAUGAGCCCAAAUUAUAAAAAAACCUAUAUGAAAUGGACUUUAGAAACACACCCAAAGUCCAUUUACAACAUAACAAAAAGGUUUUUAACUUCUUUUAAAUUACAAAAUUGUCAUUGAUUUCUUAAAACAAACCCAACCCAAAAACCUCAAAAAAAAAAAAAAAAAAACCCAAAACACUUAAUGGGGCAUCAAAGUAAUUUAAUAAUUAAAAUUAAAUUCAAUAGGGCCAGCUGUUAUUUUUUGGGUAUGUUUAUAGAAAUUAAAUAGUGUAGGGUUUAUUUAUAGUUUUAGUGCUAAGAAUGGAUAUUUGACUAAAUAUUUCUAAAAACUUUAUAUCUUCAUGGACUCUCCCUCAAAAAUCUAACUAUACUGUUCUUGUAAAUCUGAAAUAAUAUAAUAUUUAGAAUCAAAACCCAACCACCUUUCCUUGGUGUAUGAAAUGGGUGAGAGGGAGGAGGAAGACGAGGAAAGAUUAAAAAUAAAUAAAUAAAUAAAUCUUAUGGGAUCAGUGCAUCAAUUAGGAGAGAAUGAAAAUUUAAAAUAUAUGUAAUUGUAUUAAAUGAUUUAGCAUGCCACAUCAUCUUCCACAUCAUAUGGUAUACAAUUGUGGUACAAAAAGAUGGUCUCCCUAGCAUUACCCUUCUCUUUAACCUUCUCCUUUGAACUUUCUCCCUUCUCCUUAUAUCAUGUGUCACUUUCUUUAUACUAAAAUAAUAUCAUUAAUGCAUAGCUUUUGUUUUUCAAAAUUACCCUUAUUAAAUAUAUUGACUUUCAUAUUACAUUUAAUUUAUCUAAAAUUUUUUAUAAAUGGAAAAAAUAAAAAUAGAAAUUAUUAAAAUAAUAUUUUGUUUUACCCACCAACCCCAGCCAUAGACGGGAGCAGAUCCGCUGUCCCCAAAUUGGUGUCCCCUUCAUGUCCUCUCUCUAAUUUGCUGACACGUGUCAAUUAACAUAACGGAGAGUUAACUCCGUUAAUUUUUUUAUUUGACAAUUUUAAAAAUUAAAAAAAUUAUAAACUGCCCAAAAUAACCCACCAGCCAGCGAGCGUCCUUUCUUGCUAAACCCAGAGCGUCGUCUUCCUUGGGGUCUUUUAUGUGUUUGGCUAUCUUUGAAGAAUUUGUGAAUUAAAUGGUUAAUUGGAGUUGAAUCUACUGCUGUUAUGACAUAGAGAUUUAGUUAUUUGGAGUUUAACGAUAUUCACGAGGUGAUGGUUGCUCUGUCGCCAACAACCUUCAAGAGGCAGAGGAGAGGACCCAUCACCUUGGAUGGUUUUGCUCAUGCUCUUCCACGGCUUCCCAUACCAACAAGCUUUGAUGCCGUCAAAAGCACCAGUUUAAUGACUCUGCCUCUUCUUCCGUACCCUCCUCCUCCUCCUCCUCCAUCAUUAGUUUCUGUUGUGACCAACCAAGCAAUGGUGCCAAUUGAGUUUGAGUUAAUUAAACCUUGUGAAGGAGAAGAGAAGCUGAUGGAUUUGAAAAUUGCGGCUGCAAUUCCAAAAGAAAAAGAUCUGCUCCAGCAACUACAAGGAAGUGCCCCUACCCCUACACCAAUCAAUGUCAUAGGGUCUGAAGAAGUUGAAUGCACAAUGUGUUUGACAAAAUGUUGCAGCGAGAUGUAUGCAUUUUGCCAGUUUAUUGACUUACUGAAGAUAAAUCUUUUUUCCCCUCAUGAGGGAAAGAAUGAAAUAUGCUUAAUUUAGGUCCUACCACUUAACAACGAGCAAUAUUCAGUUAUAAUUGAUUCCACAUAGUCGCUGGGUUUAGCAAGGAAGAUGACGUUCGCUGGGUUUAGCAAGGAAGACGACGUUUGCAGGGUUUUGCAAGGAAGACGACGCUGGGUUUGGGCAGUUUUUUAUUUUUUUAAUUUUUAAAAUUGUCAAAUAAAAAAAUUAACGGAGUUAACUUCCCGUUAUGUUAGUUGACACGUGUCAUCAAAUUAGAGAGGGGACAUGGAGGGGACACCAAUUUGGGGACAGCAGAUCCGCUCCCGCCAUGGACCCCAUUUCCAUCUCCCAAAAUAUAUUGCUUCUCUUGCCAGCCAUACCACUGUGUAACAUCUUCCUUCCGCCCUUGUGGCUGGGUUGUUUUUUCAAUGUUUUCAUAUUUCCUUCUUAAUGUUUUAAUUAUUAAUAUCCUAAAACUGAUUUUUAAAAUUUUUUAAAUUGCACUUUGUAUUUUUUUUAAGAACUGAGGGGGUAUUUUAUAUCAAUCAAAAUUUGAUAUGCUACCAAACGACAAAAGGCUUAUCCAUUAAUGUUUCGGAAUUUCAGAUUCUCAAAAUUUUGUGUUUGUUAAAUUAUUAGAUUUUUUUUAUUAUUAUUUUAAAUAACAUUUAUAAUUAUUUUUUAAUAGUAAUUCAAAAGAAAGUUAAUUCAUUCAAUAAGGGUAACUUUGGAAAACAAAGGCUAUGCAUUAAUGACAUUGUUUUAAGAGCAUGUUUACGUAUCAGUAAUGGAGAAAAUAAGGAAUCAGAGAAUUUAGGAAUAGGGGAACUACUGAAUCGGUAUGGGAAGAAUCAUUCACAUUAAGCUGUUUACUAAAUAUCUAGAAUUAGCAAAGGAAUGGGGUUGAUUCCCAUUGUUAUUGUUUACUAAUUUUCAUGAAUUAGAAUCGAAAUUAAUUUGAUUACUGAAAUGCCCUGCACAUUUUCACCACAGCACAUAUAUAAUUCUCAAACUGGCUAAAGAAACCAAACUAAUCCCGCAGCAAACUAGUAAGGCGGUGUAAGCAUGAGGACUCAAUAUGCUGAACAAGAUGAACAGUAAGAGCCCAGUUCAAUGAUAAUGUUAAUAACACCUUUGUCUAGAGUCAAUUUCUAACGAAAAAAUAAACUCCAAUAAAUAUAUAUAUUUCACCUACAUAACUAGUAAACAAUCAAAUAAUAAUAACCUGCAUAAUCUUCAUAUGAUUAAAUACAUAAUCUUCAUACUACCUAAAAAAAAGAAAGAUAUAAUCUCCAUAAAAGUCUUUAUCCAUGAUUGUAUUUUGUUUUGUGAUGAAUGUGAAGACAGAAGAUAGAAGAAGAAGAAGAAGAAGAUAGAUAGAUAGAUAGAUAGAAUGGCUUACAUAGCACAAGGCAUUGUUGCUGCUUCUGGGAGGUUGUGUCUGCAACGCUAACGUGAAAAAGAAGUUGGAGCGUCUUGGAACUUCUUGGUGUGAGUUUUUAUUUUUUUUAAAGGUUUAGGGUGUUUUGGAAGUAUGGUAAAGUGGUAAGAGUAUUUUUGGAAGUUAUUAAGAGUAAACAGGAAUGAGAAUCAUAUCGACUACUCCCCCCUAGUUGAUCUGAUACCUAGUUUUGAGGGGAUGUGAUUACGCAUUUUGAGGUGGGGCCUACUUAUUUUUUCAUUCCUGAUUGCAAGUAAACGCAGGCGAAGUCAAGAAUGGAAAUCAUUCACUUUCCUCCCAUACCCAUUACUGAUACGUAAACAUGCCUUAAGAGGAAAAUAAAAAAUAUAAAAAGGGGAACUAAUGUCGUUAAAAUUAUUUCUUGAGCAUGAAAUUGAAUGCGCUAGAUAAAUGGAAAAGCCAUGCCACCACUAGACUUGGACUAGGAUGGUUUAGAGGAUAAGAAAAAUGCAUACAAGGAUGUGAAGAAAAUUAUAAACAUGUAAGUGAAUAAAUUUUUCUUGAUCCAGAAGGAUGUAACAGAGCACACGCCAUUAAAGCUGUGUACAAUGUUUGCAGGAUAGCUCCAACCCAAUGACAUAUAUCGUUGGCAACAUGAUCUUGUUCGAAAAAGUCUUAUGUGAAUUUUUUACGGCUAUUUUUUCUUCUUCAAGAAACUAAAGAUUAACCAUCUCAGGGUGAUUUUAUAGUUUAGACAUGCUCUGGUGGGUUAGAAAGUUCUUCUCUUUCAGUUUUUGAGUUAGAGAAGAUAACAAGAGAGUGGAGAGAGAAAGUGCGAUUUUAGGGGAGACCAAUUUAUUUUCCAGAAAAAAGUCAAACAAUAGACAAAAAUAACAUUAAUUAUUAUUUUAUAAGUCGAUAAUAUAAACCGUUGAUAGUAGAUGAAUCUAAUGGUGUUAAAAGUGUGUUUUAUUGGUUGUGAAAAUAGAGCAUUCUUUCUUAUUAUCCCCAGUAUAUUAUGGCCAAAUAAAAGAGAUGCAUAUAUCUAAGAAGCGAAAACAGUGCAGAACCACAAACUAGUGUGAUCAUAGAAUCAAAUCCAAAAAAAAAGAACAAGAACAAGAUUGAAAAGCAGGAAAUAAGCUAGUACUGGCAGUAAAACCUUAGCUGCAAUGCAAUGCAAUACAAACAAAGUUGGUUUCAGCUUGUUCUGGGGGUAUAUGGAGAUGGACAUGGAGGAACAUGCACUUCCACCACGCCUUCAAGCAUCUGCACAACUUUCCUCAUAGUUGGUCUAAGAGACGGGUCAUCUUGAAUACACCAAAUAGCAAUCAUCACAAGCUUUUCCGGCUUCAUUCUAUCAUCUAAGGCCUGAACUUCAUUAUCUAGAACUAGAACAGCAUCUAACAUUCCUCCGCGGUAGCAAUCAUAGACCCAAUCCGUUAAAAUUGCUCUCUCCUCACGGCUAUUGUCCGCAUCAACGCUUCUCCUACAGCAAAUGAUCUCAAGCAGCACAACACCAAAGCUAUACACAUCAACUUUGGCAGUGAUUGGCAUGUUCCUGAACCACUCAGGGGCAACAUACCCUUUUGUUCCUCUAAUGGCAGUAUGAGUGUGGCUCUGAUUCAUCAUCAAAAGCUUUGCCAAUCCAAAAUCAGAGAUCCGAGCAGUGUAAUAAUCGUCAAGCAGUAUGUUCUGAGGCUUUAUAUCACAAUGGAUGACUUGGGUGCAGCACUCUUCAUGCAAGUACAAAAGUCCCUUGGCAACUCCACAAGCAAUUUCAAUUCGCUGCGUCCAACUGGGUUUUGUAUCAGCAAAAAGGAAGCUUGCUAACGUGCCCUUGCUUAAGAACUCGUAUACUAGCAAUCGAUGUUGCCCUUCGUCACAAUACCCAACCAGGCAAACUAGAUUCUUGUGAUGUGUCUUACCAAUUACUCGCAGUUCUGUCUUGAAUUCCUUCUCACCAUCUUGUAUCACACCGUUUAGCUUCUUCACUGCCACUUGGACACCGGAACCAAUUUGUAUUGUCCCUUUGUAGACAACUCCAAAGGCACCUCUUCCUAAUUCUUCUGUGAAUCCAUUUGUUGCUUCUCGAAGCACUUGGUAACUAAAAGAAUGCAAAUUUGAGUCCAAAAUAUUGUCGAUAGACCUUACAUGUUUCUUCCGGAAAACAAAGAAAAAUCCCGGACAAGCAGCAGCACUAAACAUAAAACUAACAAAGAUAGAGGCAGCCAGAAUUAUAGACUCCACGCGUAUCAAAGUGUUACUGCUCUUCUUCUUCGUCUUCUUGUCAUCUGGAUUUGGCAUUGGAGGAAAUUGUAGAGUUGAAUUAUCCUUUCUGACUUUGAUGAAGGCUUGUGAAUUAAGACUUACAUCCACUCUCCCAUUUGAGAGAGGUAACUUCUUUUUCCAACAGGUUUCAGACCGGAAAAUAGCAACAGCACACAAACAAUCUUUAAAGCAAGAUUCAUUGCACCUCUCUGCAGUAAAAGGCUUUAACUGCACAUAAUCUGAGGUUGGCCAAUCUGUAUUUGUUAGCACCUCAACAUCAUAUAAAUAUUUUGUGCCACUAAGCUCAUCUUCUUCACAGCCUUGUAUGAAAUCCGGUUUGCAUCCCCGGUAUGGAUUAUUUGGAUCAAGUAAAGAGAACCCUUUUGGGCAUCCACAGGUUGGCCUCUUAUCUCUUCUGAGAGUACAGAUACUGUUGUACCCACAAACACCAACACCUGAAUAUUCUCUGUUUCUUUGGCAAAUAUCAUCUGGCUCUGACCACAGAAUAGUCCAGCUUACAUUUCCAGUGAAAUUCUUGGGGUGAUAAUAUUGAGCAAAAAUCCCAUCAAAGGUGAGAGUUGCUCUAAUAUAGUUGUCCCUUGCUGAGACUGCCUUUCCCACUGCAAGAUUGUACUUUCCACCAUUCUCUCUCAGAACAUACAAGUAGCCUGAGACAUUGAAAACCAAUUCUUUACCUUCACUACCUGCCACAGUCCCUGUGUCGGUUGCAUAGUAAGGUUCAUUGGCAAAGUGUGUUACAAAGUUUAUGGUGUUGAUUACAAGGUUCCCAUCUGGUUGCAGAAACAGCUGGAACACUCCUUUCGAAUAGUUAGUCACCGAUUGUCGAGAAAAAAGCUUCCCACCUCUUUCAAGUGUCUGUCCAGGCAACAGGGUAUCAGUGGGAUUGUUGAAGGUCUCCCAUAAGCUUUCUGAGUUUAUAUCUUGAAGGACAAAGUUGCCUGUAUCAUUCAUGACCCCUUGGGCAACAAUACCAGCACCGGUUUCAGAUUUCCAUAGCUCGUCACCCUGAGGAUUUGUAAGCACUAGACCGCUGUCGUCGAUCAAAAACACAGUUGACCCCUCGGGUGCAACUGCAGCCCCAUUAUACCACACUAUGGUUCUGUCUGGUAUUUUGGCAUACCAUAUUGAGAGCAGGAAAAGAUCAUUCCUUCCAAGUGGCGAAAAUCCAAAGGCAAAAUCACCAGAUGGAGAAAGCCAUGAUGAGGAGCUAGCUGCAGUUGCAGUUAGGGAAUCCCCCACUGCUAUGCCACCGUUAGUUUGAGCAAACACAGAAACUGGUAGCAGAAACAGAGAGGAAAACAGAAGCAGCCGUACGGUAAAAGCCAUUGCUAAUUUUCUAGCACCAAUGUGUUUAGGCAUACUACAAUAUCAUAGCUAGCUAUAUUUCAUAAUGAAGAAUGGGACCGUGGCCCUUGCUUCCUUGAAAUUUCUUGCCACAUCUUAAUGAAGCAUGAGACGCGUUCAUUUCUAAUUUGUGUAUACUAGUCCAUGUUAACCAUCCACUACGGCACGCACAAAAAUUUCUAAGUGUAUCUGUCUACAUCGUAGUUUUUUGUUUUAUACUGUCAAAUGACGCAUUUUCUCCUUCUAACAGCUUAGUUUGAAAGGCAAAUAUGUCAUUCAACCGCAAAAAUUUAUCACAAAAAUUUAUUACAAUUGGAGAUUUUAGAAAAGUAAGGUCCAAGAAGACUAAGUAAAAGCUAGGGGUGGUUGCGGUUCGGUAACCGCGAAUUUUUACUCAAACCGCAAACCGACCGACUAUUUGCGGUUUGGUGAUUUUUGAAACCGCAAACCGACCGCGUUUUGCGGUUUACCGCAUUGCGGUAAACCGCAAAAAUGCGGUCGGUUACAGCGAAUUUGCGGUUUAAAACCGCAAAUUCUCAAGCAUUCACAAAAAUAUAAAUUUACAACCUAAAUAAAUAAAUACACAACCUCAAUUUCUCAAACAUAUAUAAAUUCACAAUCGAUUCCAAUUCUCAAGCAUUCACAACCUAAGAAAAUUAAAGUUACAAUUCCAAACAUUCCAAUUAAAGUUAAACUUCUCAAGCAUUCCAAUUUCAAAUCCUUUAAAGUUACAAACCAAAAGCAAAAUGAAUUAAAGUUACAACCAAAAAGAAAAAUCCAAUUCAAAGUUAAUUAAAGUUACAAACUAAAAGGAAAAAUGCAAUACACCAAUGUUACAAACUCAAGUGUUGGUGGUGAGUGGAUUUGAAGAACCCCUUUGUGUUGUUUGAGCACCAAUGCUAUCUACAAAUAAAACAACAUAGUUUAGUACAUUUUAUUAUAAGAAGAAGCAUAAAUAACAUUAGCAUAAAUAAACUAAUUACUUACAAGUUGUCAUAUCUUCCAUUUCCUUGUAGAAUUCAACCUCAUCAUCCGUUGGUUCCUUGUAAAAGGAAAAUUCGUCCGCUCUAAGCCAAUCACUAGUACACACUAAUGCCUCUACCAUUUUAGGAUGCAAAGAGCUUCUAAAAGGAUCCACAAUCCUCUUGCCUAGGCUAAAAGCAUUUUCACUAGCAACCGUAGAACUUGGAAUUGCAAAGAUAUCCUUGGCAACUUGUGAAAGAAUAGGAUAUCUUGUUUGGUUCCCUCACGGCUACAGAGAGAGAAGAGAAGGGUUUACAAUUUUACUUAAUUAUUCAUAGAGUAUAGCCAUGCGGCUAUACUUUGCGGUUUGCGGUAACCGCAAAUUUUGAAAAUCAAAUACCGCAACCGCAACCGCAAAUGCGGUUCGGUUCUUAAUACCGCGAUUGCGGUUCGGUUUACCGCGAUUGCGGUUUUAUUGCGGUAAAAUAUCGGUUGGUUUUUGCAGUUUUUCGGUUUUUCGGUUUAAAAUGCCACCCCUAGUAAAAGCUUAUGCAACAUAAAGAAAGCAUGGUCAUUGUUUUCAUAAAGAAAGCAGUGAGGACAAAAAAGACAUGACCAUUGUUGUCAUAGGAAAAAAAAAAAAGCAAUGAAAUGAAAUUAUGAGAGAAAUAUAGCUGCAAUUUCAUUUGAUGAGACUGCAAGUGUCCAAUUUCAAUUUGAAAAUUUCUUAGUGGGACCACUACGAAGAAAAAGACUGGUUGAAUUUUGCAGUGGGAAUGGGUCAAGAAAGAGACCUAUUGACCCAAAAAAUCAGAGAGAAAUAGAGGACGUAAUAGAGGAGGUAAUGUGGACCACUGGGGUUCGAACAACUUAAACUCAACGCACACUGGGGUUCGAACCCCUCUCAACUCCAAAUUUUUGCAGCCACUUAACCACUACGCUGUUGAUGACUUUGUGAUUAUAAACUACGGAAUCUAGUAUAUAUAAUACUUGCAAGAAUUUCAAAAAUCUUGAACUUUUAAAAAUUAAACAACUUAAACUCAACGCACACUGGGGUUCGAACCCCUCUCAACUCCGAAUUUUUGCAACCACUUAACCACACACUGCUGAUGACUUUGUGAUUAUAAACUAUGGAGUAUAGUAUACAUAAUACUUGAGAGACUUUCACAAAUGAAACAAUUUAAACUCACUCACGCUCUCGCACACAAUGGGGUUUGAACCCCUCUCCACUCCGAAAUUUGCAGCCACUUCACCACCACGUUGCUAAUAACUUUGUGAUUAUAAACUAUGGAAUCUAGUAUAUAUAAUACUUGCGACACUUUCAAAAAUUAAACAAUUUAAACUCACUCACGCUCUCGCACACAAUUGGGUUCAAACCUCUCUCCACUCCGGAAUUUGCAGCCAUUUCACCACCACGCUGCUCAUAACUUUGUGAUUAUAAACUAUGGAAUCUAGUAUAUAUAAUACUUGCAAGACUUUCAAAAAUUAAACAAUUUAAACUCACUCAUGCUCUCGCACACAAUGGGGUUUGUACCCCUCUUCACUCUGGAAUUUACAGCCGCUUCACCACCACGCUGCUCAUAACUUUGUGAUCAUAAACUAUGGAAUCUAGUAUAUAUAAUACUUGCGAGCUGCUUUUCAAGUUUCAACUUUUCAUAGGAACUCUAUGUGGUACUAAGUCACUUAUGUAUCUUACCAUGCAAUGUAUAAAAUGUAAAAUAUUGUAGUAAAUCAUUAUAUAUAAAUGAUUGUGGUGUGUUUAAUCAUUUUCCAUUAAUUACUACAUAUUUUCUACACUCACGGUGUUUGUCAGCUCGCUAUAUAAUCAAAUUAAAUUAGUUAAAUCCAUCAUGCAAUGCAUUUCCUUCCAAUUUUUUGUGAUAAACUAAUAGAUAAUUGACUAAAUAAGCAUCCUCCAAAGUUUCAAUAAAAAUGUCCAAGUUUUUCUUACAAUUUUCGUGGUUUUUAGUCAAUUUUUAUCGAUAUCGAUAAUAUCCCGAUAUUUCCAUCGAAAUUUUCGUGUUUUUGGACUACCGAUAUUUCCGAUAUCACCGAUAUUUUAGACCUUGAUGUGGACUAAUCUUAAACUAUACUGAUUAAACUGCAGGUAUCUUUCUUGUUCUUUUUCACAUCCCCAAAUAACAAAGGAUUUUCAAGUAGAGAUAUCAUUAAGAGAAUUUUUUUAUACAAGCGAUAUUUGACUUUAAUCUAAUCUAAACUACAGGAAAAGUGAUAAGUGUAUUAUUUCCUAUAUUUUUAUACCUUUUAUAUAUAUCGGUUUUGUAGGGAAAGUUAAUUAAAAAGAGUAUUAUUACUUUACUUUCCUUAUUUUCAGCUAUUCUGCACUCUUGGAAGGAUUUCAACUGAAAGUCAACUUUUCGAAUGAAUUUUAGUGCAAGGCCAAUUGUAGAAGAAAGCUAAGACAUUGAAGAUCGUUGUAUCAAAGUUUCAUAAUUUUCUACCAAGCCAAAUGCACCAGACCUGCAAGUCAAGACAGCCUAAGUUGAAAUCCCGUUAGAACUGCACUGCUGUGGAAGAUUGAAGAUUUGAAUAGCUUUCCGAUUUUUCCUAGUGGCGUGUGAUAUAUGCUUGGAAAGCUUAGAGAUAAAGCUACGUUUCUCAUAUUUUUCCAGAAUUUUAUAGGAAGUGGAAUGACCCAAAACAUGCAUGCAAGUUGGCUGACGUGUUUCCUAGUCAAAGAAGGAUUCUUUCCUAGUUUGUUUCCUUAAUUGUUUGAGAUUUUGUUUUGCUUUAGGAGAGUUUCUCUAGACCUUUUUAGAGUAGGGUUUAGUUAUUUUACACUGUAUAAGGUCACCCUAAGGAUCUCUUCAGAGGAUCAUAUUUCCUAUCAUCUUCCCAUAUACAACUUUCAUACACCAACAAAUAUAUCAGAGAGAGAGCCAAGAAUUUGUUGUCGCUGUGUUGCUGUGGAGAAUCCAGAGAUCAAUUCCAUCUGCCAAAUCAGUUUUAUGACAACAAUUUUCUUGUUUAUCUUUUCUUUUGUCAUGAACUAAUUUUCCUUGCUAGGGCUACGAUGUAGCCUAACCAUGAAUACUUAAUUUUUAUAGUUAUAUUAAUUUUUCAUUACUAUUCCAUGUUGAGUAUUUGUUAUUGUUCUUAAUGCUUUGAAUAUCUGGCCAAUAUUUAAUUGAUUUGAUGAUCCAAGCGGAGACCGAGAUGAGAUGUUUGGUGUUUGCAUCUUAUAACAGAUACCAUGUCUUGAAUGAGUGCCCGAGAGGGACUAACAUGACUCAUGCAGUUUUCUUGUAGGUUCUCAUAGAACUUAAUGGGUUCUUGAUUUUCUAAAUCCAUUGCUCGAGAGAGAAUGGGUUGUUAAUUAAGAAUACAUUUGGUUGAGCCCGAAAGGGGAUAUUGAAUGAAUUAGGAGAAACCAACUGUCAACAUGGGUAGUAAUUAGGGUUAAUUGGCUAUAAGAAUUAAGUGGAAUUGGUUAUGUGAAAUCAGAUGCUCUAGUGUCUCAUCAUCUUGAUUUUCCAACAUUAAUUAAAGUGCUAUUUUUCAUAAUUGUUUUAGCUUACUUAAAUCAAUCAAUCUUCUUAAUCAACUGUUCAAAUAAAUUCUAAAUUAAUCAUAAUUAGUAGUUAAUAGGAAAUUGCAAUCUUUGUGAGAACGACACUCUACUUAUUUCUAUAUUACUUGUAUGAAUUGUGCGCUUGCAAUAAUUUCACAACAAGUUUUUGGCGCCGUUGCUGGGGACUGUUUUAUUUUCUAUUAAUAUCAAUAUAUUUUAAUUCGGAGUUUAAUUUGAAUUUAUUUUAUUUUUUAUUUUCAGGUACGUUGAAUUUUUCCGACACUGCCACCUAUGGCGGACGAAGCAGAAGGAGCAGUGAGGGAAUUUGGCCCCUCAGUGGCAACUCCCUCAGCGAUCCGACGUCCUACUAUUGCAGCCAACAAUUUUGAUAUCAAACCAGCCAUGAUCACCAUGCUGCAGAAUUCAUCCGUAUUUUGUGGUUUGCCGAAUGAAGAUCCCAAUAUACAUCUUGCGAUAUUUUUGGAGAUUUGUGACACGUCCAAAUUCAACGGGGUACCUGACGAUGCGAUUCGUUUAAGGCUAUUCCCCUUCUCCUUGAAAGAUAAAGUCAAACUUUGGUUACUGUCACAGCGACAAGACUCCAUCCGUACUUGGGAUGAUUUAUCUAAGAAAUUCCUGGCUAAAUUUUUCCCACCAGCCAAAACUGCAAAAUUCCGACGAGAUAUUAUGUCAUUCGCUCAAUAUGAAAAGGAGCCUCUAUAUGAAGCCUGGGAACGAUUCAAAGAUUUAUUGCGCAAGUGUCCUCACCAUGAGCUACCAACCUGGAUUCAAGUUCAAACUUUCUACAAUGGGUUGAGUCAAACAAGCAGGACAUUAGUUGAUGCAGCUGCUGGAGAGGCUUUAAUGGCAAAAACGGCUACCGAAGCAUUUGAAUUAUUGGAGACCAUGCCAUCCAACAACUACCAAUGGCCGAGUGAAAGAAUGAAUCCGAAACCAGCAGGGUCUUGGAAGUCGAUGCCAUGGCCUUGCUAACAGCACAAAUUUCUAACCUUACUAAAAAAGUUGAUUCUUUAAGUGUUAAUGCUAUAAACACUAAUACUAAUUUUGGUUGUGAAUUUUGUGCAGGCCCUCAUCCAAGUUCAGAGUGCACCACAAGGAACCCAUUCGCGUCCGUUGAGCAAGUAAAUCAAGUUGUAGAAUUUAAUCGACAAAGGAAUGAUCCUUAUUCCAACAUGUACAACCCCGGUUGGCAAAACCAUCCAAAUUUUUCAUGGAGCAAUACUCAGAAUGUGCAGAGAUCACCACCUGGCUUUCUGGUUCAAGAAAAGAAAAUAAAUUUGGAAGAUGCGCUUACCCAGUUGACUAUGUCUACCACCCAAUUUAUGACGGAAACAAAAAUCCAGUUUCAGAAUCAAAGCGUUUCUAUUCGAAAUUUGGAGAUGCAAGUAGGCCAACUAGCUAAUGUAUUGAGUGGAAGAAAUCAAGGAGUAUUGCCAAGCCAACCCGUAAUUAAUCUGAAAAAUCAAGAACAAGUAAUGGCAAUCACAAUUCGGGAAAAGAAGCAAGUAAAUACAGCGGUCAACUUGAAAAAGAAAAAUUAGAAAAAGAGAAAGAAGCUGAGAAAUCCCAAGAAGAAGAAAAUUAUGUUGUUAUGCCGACUCAUUCUCCUCCAUUGAAGCCAUAUGUCCCACCGAUCCCUUUUCCGCUGAGGCUGAAGAAAAAUAAAAUUGAUAAGCAAUCUUCUAAUUUCUUGGAGACGUUCAAAAAGGUGCAAAUCAACAUUCCAUUCGCUUCAGCUUUGGAACAAAUGCCAAGUUCUGAAAAAUUCAUGAAAGACAUCCUCUCGAAGAAAAGGAAAUUUGGUGAUCAUGAGAAAAUCCAACUGACUGAGGAAUGUAGUGCCAUCCUACAACAAAAGCUUCCACCAAAGAAAAAAGAUAGAGGGAGUUUUAAAAUUCCAUGCACUAUUGGAAAUAAUUUCUUUGAAAAAGUUUUAUGUGAUUUAGGUUCUAGCAUUAAUUUACUACCUUUAUAUGUUGCUAAAAAGAUUGGUAUUAGUGAAAUUAAACCAACUACUGUCUCUUUGCAAAUGGCGGACAAAUCAAUCACUUAUCUUGAUGGAAUUAUUGAAGAUGUUCUAGUAAAAGUUGAUACACUCAUAUUUCCGACUGAUUUUCUGGUUUUGGAUAUGGAAGAAGAUCCUGAAACACAAUUAAUUUUGAGCCGUCCAUUCCUGAUUACUGGACGAACUCUGAUUGACGUGGAAGAAGGGCUACUAACUGUCAGAGUUGUGAAUGAAAAAGCGACAUUCAAAGUUUUUGAACCGAUAACAUUUCACGGAAAAGCAAAGGAAAAUGAGACUCUGAGCCAUCCAUCUCCAAAGUUGACAAACCAAGGGUUCCCGGAUCUACCUUGUACUUGUAUGAACUAAAACCAUAUGACCCAGGAAGGAAUGAAUUAGAGGAACUUCAAAAUAAAUCAUACGAGAGUGCGAGACUUUUCAAGGACCAUACAAAGAAGGGGCAUGACAAGCAUAUUAAGAAUGACCACUACUACAAAAAAGCAAAAAGACGACGGUAAAUCACCGUCGUGUAUUGAGUUUUUCAAUGGUCGUGGAAUCCACCGUCAUCUUUUCUCUCAUAAACCACGACGCUAAAUAACCGUCGUUGUUAAAAUAUACAACGUCAUCAACAAAUACAAAACGACGUCUUUGUACUGCAAAAAGAUCUAAAAAAAGCAAUCGAGGAUGAUAAUAGACGACCAACUCUCUAAAAAACACGUCGUUAAAAAGGAAAAAUAUGACACAUAUUAAGAGAACAAGGCCGCAAGAUAGACAUACAACGACGAAAAUAAAAAUACGACGACGUUAAAUAUAAUUUUCACGACAAAUAGUUGUCAGUGUCAUUAUUUACGACAAAUGUGUUUAUAGAUUAGACGUUGAAAAACUAAACAACGUCGGUUCCAAAUAUAUGAGAGUCGUAUUACAAAAUUUAUACGUCCUAUUUUCAGAAACAAACAACGACGACAAAUAUUAGACGUUGUUAAAUAAAACCACGUCGGAAAAAAAUAAAAACAGACGUGUUUAGUCUGCUAAAGUUCUAGAAAAUAGUCGAGGAUGAGAAUAGAUGACCUACUCAAAAAAAUCACCGUCGUUAAAAAGGAAAAAUAUGACACAUAUUAAAAGAACAAGGCAGCAAGAUAUACAUACAACGACGAUAACUAAAAUACUAUGCCGUUAAAUAUAAUUUACACGACAAGAAAAAAUAUGACGUCUUUAAAUACAUGAGAAGACGACGUUAUUGAAAUCUACUACGUCUCUUAUUUACAAAAAACCGUCGUGAAAUAAAUUUUCCACUUCGAUUUUUCUAAAAAAGAUGACGUGGAAAUAGUUGUCAGAGUCAUUAUUUACGACGUACACAUUUAUAUAGUCGACGUUGUAUUUAUAUCUAUCAUCAUCACUCACGACGCACUUAAUAAUAUAGACGACGUUGAACUUCUAAACAACGUCGGUUCCAAAUAAAUGAGCGCCGUAUUACAGGACAUAUAGACGGCGUUGAUUAUGAUGAGAGCCGUAUUACAAAUAACGUCGUUUAAUUGUUAUUAGACGGCGGUUAUAAUGAAUUUCCGUCGGAAUUCAUUUCGUUCCUCUUCGUUUAUAAAAGAACUUGCGACGUGGAAAAUGUAUGAUGACGUCGUAUUUUUUAACGUUCAGAUUAUAUAUCUCAUUUUUUAGACGUCGGUAUUAUGGGAUUGGAGUCGUGUUAUUUUGAAUUACAUGGCGGUUCUUAAUCCUUCCCCGACGUGAUAUCCUGAAUAAUUGCUUCACAAUAGCGUCGUGGUUCUUCAUUGUUACGUUGCUUUAAGACGUCGGUAAAUAUGCUGAAUAACUGGUUCACAAUAACGUCGUGUUUUAUUUGAACGUAGAAAGUGAAGAAAUCACAUUACAAUAUAUUACAAAAUUAAUGUCAUACACUGCCAAUUACAUAAGCAUCAUUCAAUCCAUAUAUCUUCACACCCAUCUCGAAUAUUUUGACCGCCUAACUCACCCACCAGUUCAUCAAAUGUGUCAACAUUUGGCAUCCCUCUAGUAAAUGGCUCACACUCAAUUAUCACAUCACCUAAGACUUCAUUACCAAUAACAUCAUUAUAUUCUCUAUUAGGCAUUGAUAACACUACCGACCAACCACGAUGCAUCGGGUCGUCAACAAAAAAUAUUUGUUUGACUUGAGAAGCCAAAACAAAUUGGUCAUUCCUAUGUCCAAUUUUACUCAAAUCUACAAGGGUAAAUCCAAGUUCGUCGACUACAAGACCAGAACUAUCUAUCCAAUCACACCUAAAGACUGGGAUUGUAAACUUUUGGUAGUCAAGGUCCCAAAUUUCUUGAAUGACACCAUAGAAACCCAUAUUUGAGAGAAUUGGGUUUUUAUCCUAGGCACUAGCAACUUGCAUGGUAUGUGCAAGUAAAUAAACUCCACUAUUUUGAGUUGUCCGCACAUCAUCUUGUGCCUUGAUAUUGAAUUUAAUACCUUUAAUAAGAUAGCUCCUAUAUAAUGGCACUGACAUGUUUGGACCAGCUGCUAGCCACCUUAAAUUUUCUGAUACGCCAUGAUUGUCUUCCUCAAGUUCACUUUGAACCUGCAAAUUAAUCAUAUCUUAAUUCAAUCUAACAUAUAAAUAAGAAGAAAAUUAAAAGAGAAAUAUGUUAUUCAACAACAUAUACCUUGAAGCGUAGCCAUUGAAUGAAAGUGCUAUUGUGCUUAUCCUGCAGCCACUUUGUUCUCUUUCUAAAUUUUGGAUAAGCAAUCUUGAUGUGGAUCAUAUGUUGCCUACAUGACACGAAAAAUUCAAGCAUUACGGUCCCAAAUAUAGAAGAUAAACAUAAGAAAUAAUUUAAAAUGGAAACUUAAAGAAUAAAGCUCAUACGUACUCGAUAUAAGGUAGGACUUCCUCCGUAUUCUCCAAGACAUAUAGAUGUGCUUGAUUCAACAGGUCCUGAUCAACUACGCUCAUUGUGCAACCUGAUAAUGGCUUUGAAAGUCCCAUCUUUUGGCUUGAAGGCACUCCAACUGUACUAACAUCAGAUAAAUGCUGAGUACAAAACUCUACCGCUUCUUCAGCUAUAUACCGCUCAGCAAUGCAACAUUCGGGACGAGUACGAUUCUGAACAUACCCCUUCAGCACUUUCAUAUAUCUUUCAAACGAAUACAUCCACCUAAAAUAUACUGGCCCACAUAGACGAACUUCUCUGACAAGAUGUACUACUAGAUGAACCAUGAUAUCAAAGAAUGAAGGGGGAAAGUACUUCUCAAGCAAACACAGAGUAACUACUACAUCUUCUUCCAACUUAUCUAGCUUGGAAACAUCAACAGUCUUUGCACAUAUAGCAUUGAAGAAGAAGCACAAACGAGCUAUUGCAUACCUUGCAGGCUUCUCCAAAACAGAACGAAUUGCCACAGGAAGCAAUUGUUGCAUUAAGGUAUGACAAUCAUGUGAUUUAAGGCCAAGAAGUCUUGAAUCUUGUAAAGAUACAAGAUUUUUAAUAUUUGAAGAAUAACCUUCAGGGACCUUCAUACCAUAGAAUGAAUUGCAAACCUCUUUCUUCUCUGCUCUUGACAAAUUCCAAGGCCCAGGAGGCAAACGAGUACGUCUUUCUCCAUACUCGGGUUGCAAAUCAGUUUUGACCCCCAUGUUCAAUAAAUCUAAUCGAGCAGCAAUCCCAUCUUUAUUUUUUCCAGGGAUCUCCAGCAAUGUACCAAUGAUACUAUCGCAAACAUUCUUCUCAAUGUGCAUAACAUCUAGGGCAUGCCUCACAGGAAGGUAUUUCCAAUACUCGAGAUCAAAGAAUAUUGAUUUCUUCUUCCAACAAACUCUGUCACCAUUUUCAACCAUAUGCAGCACUUCUUCUCCGGUUAAUGGCUCGGGAGGUAUGCCAUAUUCAGGUUUCCCAUUAAAACCUGCACGUUGCCUCCUAUAUGGAUGAUUGAUUGGUAACCAUUUUCUAUGCCCAAUGUAACAAAUUUUGUGGCCAUUUUUCAACCUGUGACUAGGUGUAUCAUCGCCGCAUAUUGGACAAGCUUUAUAUCCUUUAACAACACAACCAGAUAAGUUUCCAUAGGCGGGGAAAUCAUUAAUUGUCCACAUUAAUGCAGCUCUGAGUGUAAAGUAUUCUCCAUUAUGUGCAUCAUACACUCCUCUAAUCCCAACCCACAAGGAUUUUAAAUCAUCAAUCAAAGGCUCCAAGUAAACGUCUAUAUCAUUUCUGGGUUGUUUAGGACCGGAAAUCAAUAAGGUUAACAUCAUGAACUUUCGUUUCAUGCACAGCCAUGGAGGGAGAUUAUAUGUAACUAAGAUAACCGGCCAACAACUAUAUCUGCUACUUAGAGAACUGUGGGGAUUGAAUCCAUCAGAUGAAAGAGCCAAUCUCAAGUUUCUCGGCUCAUUACCAAACUCAGGCCAUUUAUCAUCAAGAAGUUUCCAAGACGGGGAAUCCGCCGGAUGAGACAUCUGACCGUCAAUUGAUUUUCUAGCAGCAUGCCACCAAGUCAAACUCUUAGCUGUCUCAUGUGAUUGAAACAUCCUUUUAAACCUUGGAAUUGGGGGAAAAUACCACACCACCUUCGCUGGCACACCCUCUUUCAAGAUUGAAUCUUUGCCUUCCUUCCACCUUGAGAUACCACAAGUAGGACAAUUAGUUGAAUCCUCAUACUCCUUCCUAUACAAGAUGCAAUCAUUGGGGCAUGCGUGCAUUUUCUCAUAACUCAGCCCCAAUGCACACAAAGUCUUUUUAGCCUCAUACAUGGAGGUUGGUAUUGUAUUUCCUUCUGGAAGCAAAUCGCCUUGAAGUAUCAAUAAUUCUGUAAAACAGACAUCACUCAUCCCAUGUUUUGCCUUCAAAUUAUACAACUUCACUAAUGCCGAUAACUUCGUGUACUUUCUACAACCAGGGUACACUGGUUGAUCUCCAUCCCCAAUCACAUUGGCAAACUCAUACGGUUCCGAACCAAAAUCACCAAAACCAUUAUCAUCCAUAUCAAUUUCUUCAGACACAAAACUGUACCUACUAUGGCCAUCAUCUUCUUCAACAUUUCUACUAGCAUUAGUAGUUACUUCCCAAGGUUCUCCGUGAAAUGUCCAAUUCUUAUAGCUUUGGUCAAUUCCAUUAAAGUAUAAGUGAUCCCUUAUAAUUCCAACCCCAAACAACUUCAAAUUAACACAUUUAACACAUGGACAACGGAUAUGUGUUGUAGUUAGAAGAUUUUCUACAGCAAAGUUCAAAAAUGCUUCCACCCCAAAUUCAUAUGCCUUCGAUCUUCUAUCCGAGUGCAUCCAUGACUUAUCCAUCUCCGACACUAUAACCUAUUAUCUAUAAUAAAGUGAAAAUACAGGCAAUGACCAUCACUAUAGCAGAUUAUACAAUGAUCUAAUCGCAAGUAAUACACAACAGAGACGACGGGUUUUAAACAAAAACAGACGUAUUUGGCAUAUAUAGACGACGUAUUUUCAACAGACGUCGUCUAUUAUAAGUAAUACAACGACGGUUUAUGAAAAAACCGUCGUGUAUAAGUAAUACAACGACGGUAGUUUAAAAAAACCGUCGUGUAAUCGUCGUCGUACGCCUUAAAAUUCGUCGUGCCUCAGUUUAUUUUCAAGAACACAAAACCCAUUAAGAACACAACAUAUAUAUGAAACCAAGCAAGAAACCAACAUAUACAUGAAACCAAGCAUGAAAACAAUAAAUCCAUUCCCAAUUCAACAUAACAUAGGGUGAUUAAAAGAUACGACAAAAUUAAAUCCAUUCCCAAUUCAACAUAACACAUAAUGUAAUCCAUGAACCCAUUAAACAGAAAAUCCAUGAACCCAUACCUAUAAGCACAUUAUUAACAGAUCGCAAAGCAUACACAUAAAACCCUUUAACAAAACAACCUAAUAUCAUUCAAUGAAUUUACAAGGGGAAGAUAGGGUUUGUACUUACAGGUUGGACGAGCUCACAGAUUCGACGGAGCCUGGAGAGUGCAACUUUUAAUUAGAGCAGAAGUGAGAGAGCGAAAUGUUAUGUCGCGCGAAAUCUGAAAAUUUUAGGUUUCAGGGUUCGAAGUAUAAGAAUAAGAGCCAAAUCUAAAAAAUUUAGGUCGCGCGAAAAUUUUUAGAGUUCGUGCGUUUUAAAACGUCGAAAGAAAAACCAAGGCGAAAGUUCUACACGUACCGACGUAAAUUUAAUAUUCCACGACGGAAACUUCAUUUUUCGGAUUAAGAACGUAAGGCCGUUAUUUUGAAGCUUCAUUUUUCGGAUUAAUUUUAAAUUUAUUUUGAAUUUUUUAUAUAACGACGACUGAAAAACCACGUCGGUGUUAAGAAAUUAAAGACGUUGUAAAUUAUAUAAACCGACUUACAUAUUAAAAUGACGUCGUUUAAAGCGUAAACCAUGUCGUAUGUUUUUCUGUACGACGUAAAAUAUGUAUUCCACGACGUAACCACCGUCGUUAAAAAUUAAUACCCUAAACCCAUAAAACUAAAUUAUACAAUUUAAAAAAUUAAGUUUAUAAAAGGUUUUAUGGUUUUAAAGCCUAACAUAUACCCUAGACUACCCAAAAAUUAUACUUUAAAAAUAAACCCCAAUAAAUAACAACCCUAAUCUCUAAACCCUAGACUCUAAACCCUAAACCAUAAAACUAGAAGUGAUUUUAUGACUCAUCAAAACAAUUUUGUUUUGGAUGGUCAUUUUAAAUUUUUGUUAUUCAAAAUGAAUUUUUUCAAGGUUUAUGUGGAAGAAAAUAUAUCAAUGACUUCAUAGGAGUUGACUUUUCAAUUUUCUGAUUUAUUUUAAAUUUAUUUUGAAUAUUUUGAUAUAAAAAUAAUAAAAUAUUCUUACCAAAACAACAAACCACGUCGGUGUUAAUAAAUUGUAGACGUUGUAAAUUGUAAUAGACUACUAAGUCGUUAAAAUGACGUCGUUAAAAUGAGAAACCAUGGCGGCUAUUUAACUAUACGACGUAAAAUAUAUAUUCCACGACUUAACCGCUGUCGUUACAUAAACGUCGUCGAUGAUACCCUGAACCCUUAAGAAAUUGAAGAUGUUGUAAACCAUAAACGACUCAAUUGUUCAAAGAACGUCGUCUAACUAUAUUUUUACGUCGUAUUUGUUUAAAACACGAAACAACAAAAUACGACGGUUUUUGACUUUAUUAGGUCGUUGGAAAAGUAUUACACGUCGGUUAAGCAAUUUGUAUGUUUGUUUUUUUUUUUAAUUUAAGAAAACCUCAACAAAUUUUUACAUUACAUAUUAUAGAGAAAAUUUGUACAUUAUACAUAAAUAUCAAGUGUUCAAUAAUUGCCCUGUUUAAUAAUUUGGAAAACAAACUCUGCCCAUUCAUUCCGGACUUCAUCAAUGGCUUCUUGGGGGUAUGAAGCUUCCUGGUUUCCCUUGGCAUACUGCAUAAACAAUGACUAUUAGGGUUUAUAAAUAAAAAGAAAUUCAAUCACAGACGACGAUAUUUUUCAUAACCGACGUAGUAUAUCCAUUCAACGACGUUAAUUUUACAUGACCGUCGUUGAUAAUACAAAAAACGACGUGAAAUGUAUGAAGGUAAUUUCUUCUUACCUUAUUCUCAAACCCCAAGAAAGGAUCCAUGAUGAUGUCCCUCAUGAAGCGCAUCACAUAGUACCCGCAUUCGACAUUGCUGGGUUGCUUUGGUGUGCCUGAGAGAGUUUUCCAAAUUACAUUUUUACGUCCUGCACGGGCUAUGUGGGUAUUAUAUAUUUUUAAAGCACUGUUCACGAUGUUUUUGGCCUCUUCAUCGACCACACGAUUUCCUGGCAGAGGAUCCAGAAAAUAGACGGUUUCUCUCUUUGCUCUUACAAUCAGCAAAAUCCAAUGACGGCUGCACAAAAUUAAUAUAAAAACGACGGUUAUUUACAAAAACGACGUAUUAUAAUAUUUCACACGACGAAAUAAAGUAGCAAUCGACGACAUUAUAGAUGUCUCACGACGAUAAAUAACUACCGACGUGGUUAGUAGUUUCAAACGACUAAAUAAAAUAAAACACCGACGUGGUUAGUUUAUAAGCUGUCAUUUAUUGAAAAUCAUAAAAACAAAAUCCUAAGGAGACUAACCCUGGAUUGUAAGGCAUCAUGAAAAUCUGUUCACCGUCUGUCUUCUGAAGUCGAGCUGCUACGAGUCGUGAUCUUUCAGUUAUUGUGCCAGAGUUGGCACUAACUGUAGCAGGGUCGAUAAAGCCAACCAUGCUGCACAUAUUGGCUUUUUUCAAAACAUCGUGUAAGUACCUAAACAAAUAAAAUAAUAUAAACAAGUCAGCACACAAAACACGACGGUUAUGUAUAAAAAAACGACGUAUUAUAAUAUUUCACACGACGUACUUAAAUAGAUGAGGACGUUAUAAUAUAUUUAUCACGACGGUAGUUAGUUAAGACGACGUGGUUAGUUAGUUCAGACGACGCAAUAUAUAAACCAACGAGAUAUUAUUUUAGAAGUACAAACCUCAUAUAUACAGCCAAUACAGUAGCUCCAAUUUCUUCCAUGCCUGCAAAUUGUGUAAUAUCUUCAGGCAGGAGGAAGGUAUCGCGCUCACCACCAAACACCUCCUUAUCAAUUGUAAAUUGGAGUGUCUUAUCCUCAGGCAGGAGUGUCGUUUCCACAAAACGACAAAGGGUUUUUAAAGAAGAUGGCGCCUCCAUAUUUGAAUAAGCACCAACUUCAAUAACCUGUUUAAAGAAAUUAAAAAAAUGACGUGGUAAUUCAAUAAAGACGACGGUUUAAGGAAUAACACGUCGUCUUAAAAGUAUUUAAACGACGGUGGAAAAACUGUCGUGGUAAUUCCAUCAAGACGACGGUUUUAUGAAUAAAGCGUCGUCUAAAACCAUUUAAACGACGGUGCAAAAACCGUCGUUUAAAUAUUUUAUUACGUCUUAAAAAAAUUCCGCCGUCUAAGUUGUAAACAAACGACGGAUGAAAUAAAAAUAUCGACGUCUGAAAUUUUGAAAAACAAAUAAAAGGCAAAGUUAUGUGAACAUACCUUGUCGUCAUGCUUUUCUUCAUCUUCUUUCUCCUUUUCUUCUUCCUUCUCUUCAUCUCUUUUUUCUUCUUCCUUCUCUUCAUCUGGCUGAUGUUUCCCCAUUUUGGCAGUAUCAUCCUCCAAAUGUAGGGAUCUCACAUCACCUCCAGAGCAGCUAGCUUUGUCAGACAUUGGAUUUUUGGGGCUUUGGCUAAUUCUUGGUUUAAGCAUGCUUGGAUCAAAAUUGGGAAUUAAUUGGGAAAGCUGACUCAGGAAAUGCUCCCUCUCAGCCUCUACCAAUUGUUUUGUCCUAGCCUCCAUUCUUAAGGCCUCUUCCCUUGCCUUAGCCUCCAUCUUUUUAGUCUCUUCUUGAAGGAGAACUCUUAAACUGUCCUUCAAACGGUCGUCAAAGCUCACCCUCUGUGGUUUGGGCAAAUUGAAAUGUUGCCUUGGGGAAACACCAGCACCAACUCCCCUCAAUCUGCCUGGAUGCUCGGGGCCCAAAGCCAUGGUCAGCACAUCAUUGCUGCCAUCUACUCUGACUUUGCCUUCCGAGACUUGUUUCUGCAAUUCAUCCUAAAACAAAGAUAAACAAAAAAACACACGACGGUUAUUUAUGUACAAACGACGUAUUAUAUAAUUUCACACGACGCAAUAACGUAUAAACCGACGUUAUGAUAACUUAUCACGACGGUAGUUAUACCGACGUGGUUAUUUAUUUAAAACGACGAAAUGAAUAAACAACCGACGUCUUAUGCUAUAAUUAAAGAAAACAGAGUAGUGAUUCCUAUUUAGACCGUUAACGACGUUUUUAACAAAGUUUCGACGUGGUAAUAUCAUUCACACGACGAACAAUAUAACACACGACGUAAUAAGAAUAAUUCACAGUUUAAUAAAAAUUUAAAACAGAGUGAUAGUAGGCUUACAAUUAAUUUAGCUUUCUCUGCCACCUUUGGAUCAGGGAUGUUACCAUGUUUGUCCUGUCUAGCUCUCUUCCAUAAGGUAGAUCGAUCAAUUUCUACCCCAGGCAUGGUUUCCUCCAAUUGAUCCUCCAAUCCAGCAUAUCCUUUUCGAGACAAUCGAUGAUUGUACUCGAGUUUCUCCCUAAUCUGUGCAUGUUGAGAAUGCACAGACUCAAAAUCUUUGGAUAGCCUUGAAGCUACAAAGGCAUCCCAUUGUGCUUUCUCUAUGAAUUUAUAUGUUUCAGGGGGUUGGCUUAAUUUCUCCCUGUCAUUGGUGUAUGGAAGGAUAUAAUGCCUCGUUAGUGUAGACUUGAAAUCCUUCCAUUUCUUGGAAGCAGAAGCUAAAACAGAGGUCUUGCCCCCUUGGCCUACGACAAAAGCCAUGUCAACUGCUUCCCAAAUCUGCUCCUUUAUAUCCUUGGGGAUUUGGGACCAUUUCUUGUCCACAAGUGGGAUCCUGGAGCGUGCCAACACACCAAUAUACGACUGCAUCUCAAUAUGUGCUUGGCCAACACCUUUCCCCCUUUUAUUGUACUCAACAAUUGGCCUCAGUUUCUGAAGCUUUCUCUUCACAACACGAGGCAUUGUGCUCAUACCUCGACCAGUCUUUGAAUCAUCAGAGAUUGUUGUCUGGCUGGUUGGUUCUGUCUCAGCAGAUGAUGAAGCAAACUUCAUCUUCUUCGAAGACUUCAUCUCCUUCGAAGACUUGUCUUGAGGAGCUACCAUUCCAAGCUUCUUGGAGCCAGAAUCCUUAGUUUGUUGUUGAGAAACCAUUUUAACAGACAAAACUGCAAGUGAAAAUAUUUCAGGAAAACAUUAAGAACACAAACGACGGUAUUAAAAAAUACGACGUAUGAUAUGAUUUUAGACGACGCAAUGAAAUAAUCUCAGACGUAAUAAAUGUUUAAAAGCAUUAUUUAUAUAACGUCGUGGUAUAUAUGUUCACACGACGUCAAUAGUAAUACACCGUCGUGGUAAACUAUUAUUUAUAUAACGUCGUGGUAUUUAUGUUCAUACGACGUCAAUAGUAAUACACCGUCGUGGUAUUAACAUUUACACGACAUAAAACAAUAAGAUAUUUUGUCGUCUAUAUUAGAUACCAACCCUAGUUUCUUUUUCUUUAUAUUUUAUCAAAUAAGGGAAAAACAAAAACCAUUGUUCAGAGAAAUCAAACCUGCAAUUAAACAAGCAUAUAAAAAAAGACUAUUAUUUUAAAAACAACUUUGUCAAUUUUCAGACGACGCUAGAACAACUUACGAACCGUCGUGGUCUACCGUCGUCUUAUUUAGUUGAGGUAGUUGUCUUCAAAGUUGGAAACUUUCCCUCUUUGUCUGUAUAUUUUAUCAAACUUGGAAAGAAGUAAAAUGAUUUUGGCCAGAAAAAAGGUAAAAAGAUUUUUCAAACAAAAAACGUAUGAGCAUGCAAAACAGUAACCAAAAUAGUGAAAAUGAAAGCUUACCUUUUGCGUGCAAUGAAAGCAAGAGGAAGAUGAUCGAUGUUUAAGUUCAAGGACGACGAAGAAGACGAGAGGAAGACGAUGAGAAACUCUGACAAUGCUCUGACAAGGAAAAGAGACGAAAAGGUUUCUCUGGAGAUUGAAAUUUUUAAUCGGGUUUGGAAACAGUGCAUGUGUAAGUCCAAAAGUUGCUUACAUAUAAAACCAUUUCAAAAAAAUAAUACGGUGGUUACAUUUAACUACGUCGUUUUUAACUAACACGACGCAAUAUUUUUCGUUCGACGUGGAAUCAUUUCAUUUAACGUCGUUAGGUUUAAUAUAACCGACGUGGAUUUUAAUUUUUAAAUUAUGAAUAGAAUUUUUUUUUUCCCGUGACCUUUCAGUUUAUUUUUCAAUUACAGUGCGUUAUAAAUAGAGUUUUUUUUCCGGAGGAAAUUUAAAACGAAGGAAAUUAAUAUUCUGCAAUAUGUAAAGUUUCUUUUUUGGAUGACAGAUUUAAAUAAAAUAAGAAUAUAAAAACAACUAAUGUGUAAGUCAAGUAGACGAAAAGUUGCUUACAUAUAAAACCAUUUCAAAAAAAUAAUACGGCGUGGAGUUCUGUAAUGUACGUCAGUAAUACCGACGUUGAUUUUACAAUUUAAACGGCGGUUUUUUGGUAAGGACCGCCGUUGGUUUUAAAAAUUUAUUCUAUAAAUUUGUCGCUUUCAUUCAUUUUCGCGGUUUACAUUUAGGGUUCCAAGUUCUUCCUCUCUCAGAGACACUGUCUCUCACAUCUCAAAGACAAUAAUUUGGAGGUCUUUCUCAAAGAGAAAUUGAGCUUACAUUUAGGCUAGUUGACAAGAAGAAGCUUGUCAACUAGCCUUCUCACUUCCUUGAUCAAGCCUGAUAGGACACUUAGUGCUUCUGAAUACUCCUUGCUUUCCAUCAAAAGAGAUGCAAGCCUGACCUCCACUCGCUGUCGAAGGAAAGUUCGCUUCUCAGGGAAAUCUGAAGAUCAGAUGUGCCUGAUCCUCUGCUUGAUUUUUUUGACUAAGAAGAUCCGUCAGAUUUGUGAUAGCCUCUUCCUUUACGUAGAGCUUCAGAAGAAGAAGAUGGGUUUCAAGAAUGCGAUAGAGAAUAGAAAUGGCUUCAGAUGGCCUCUAAAGCAUGAGCAAUCGAAUCAGUAGUUGCUGGGAGAUAUGAUGAAGACAUUGUCAAUGCUUUGAACUAUACAAGUCCUGCAGAAAGAUAAAGGACCAAACUGUUAAAGAAACUGAAACAAUGGCGGUUUUCUGUUCUACCGUCGUCUUUUCUCGUCGUCUAUAUAAAGGUAAGAUGGCGGUAUAUUUAUAAUUACCGACGUAGAUUAUUUUGUUAAACGUCGUUAAGUGUACUACAACCGACGUGGAUUUUAUUUUUAAAUUAUAAAUAGAGUGUUUUUUUCCCGAAUUCUUUCAGUUUUAGUUUUCAAUUACAAAGCGUGAUAAAUAGAUUUUUCUUUCCCGAGGAAAUUUCAAAUGAGGGAAAUUAAUGUUCUAGAAUUUGUAAACUAACACGACGCAAUAUUACUAACCCGAGGAAAUUAUAAAUAGAUUUUGCUUUCCCGAAGAAAUUUUAAAUUAAUUCAGUUUGAAACAACGACGGGUUUUUGUUAUGACGUCGUUUUUAACUAAAACGACGCAAUAUUUGUUUUGCGACGUGGAAUAUUUUCAUUUAACGUCGUUAGUUUUAAUAUAACCGACGUGGAUUUGAAAUUUUAAAUUAUGAAUAGAAUUUUUUUUCCCGUGACCUUUCAGUUUAUUUUUCAAUUACAGUGCGUUAUAAAUAGAGUUUUUUUUCCGGAGAAAAUUUAAAAUGAAGGAAAUUAAUGUUCUGGAAUAUGUAAAGUUUCUUUUUUGGAUGACAGAUUUAAAUAAAAUAAGAAUAUAAAAACAACGACUGUUUUUGUAUUACUGUCGUCGUUUUUCGUCGUCUUAAGUAAGACUAAGACGACGUAAUAUAUUUGUUUAGCGACGUUGAUUUGUUUUUUAAACGUCGUUAGGUAUAAUAUAACCGUCGUUGAAAAUUGUCUUUCUGAUUGCAAAUUUGCAACGACGUUAGGUAUAAUAUUUGUAGAUACACAAACGCACACACAUCAUCAACUUCCAAAAAAUUGUCUCUCUGAUUGCAAAUCUGUGUCAUCUGUUAAGAUUAUGAUGUGGAACAGAGUUCCAUCUGGUAAGAUUUCGUAACCCUUGGGAUCUCAGAAAAAUCUGCUUAUGUCGGCGGUUUUCUAUAUAAACCGUCGUGGUUAUUUCAAUUCUUGUCAUUAAGUAGAUCUACCGACGUAGGAUAAGAAAAUCAAAGAAAAAAAUUGUUAACAAAAAUUCUUAUUAAGACGACGUAUAAAAUGAAUAAAUACGACGUUGAAUUUUAUAGUACGAUUUAAAGAUAACGUCGUAGAACUAUACGAGAAUGACGUCGAUAUAUUUAUAUUUUUCGUCGUUGUACAUUAAUUUAAUACGGCGAUAUUUUGUAUUUUAAAGCCUUGGAUUUGUUUGUAAUUAUACGGCGUCUUAUACGAAAACCUCGUCGUGUUAUUUUAUGAGUAAAAACGGCGGCUUUUAUUGAAAUCGUCGUCUUUACUUUCUACGUCGGUCGAUUCAUAACUUCUGCCGUUCUUUGUUGGUUUUGAUUUUACACUGCCGAAAUCUGUUUCAAAUAGACGUCGGUUGUUUAAUUAGGUACGUCGUUGUUUUUGAACAGCCAUUUGAAUCUCCAUUUUUAGUUGUCUAAGGUGGUAUUACACGACGGUGUUUUUAGAACCGUCGUCUUUUUAAAAACCACGACGGUUUUCACCUAGACCGUCGUUGUUUUCUGGUCGUCUUUUUCACUUUUUGUAGUAGUGGACUGUGACGGUACAACCUUCAAAGUCAAAAGCCAUCGCUUAAAACCACAUGGGGCAGCCGCAUUUCUUAAGGAUGAGACCAACAUCCUUCUCAAUGACCCCAAGUAAACGCAUCCAAAAGUCGGGCUAUUGACUAUAAAUUAAGCGCUUGUUGGGAGGCAACCCAACUAGGUACCUUCAUUCCUUAUCUUUUUAAUUUUUGUUUGUGUGUUUCCCGCGUUCAUUUAUUUUACUAUUCUUUGUCCUUGCAUUUAUUUACUUUUUAAACAUUGAGGACAAUGUUUCAUUUAGGUUUGAGGUAGGUAACAUUCGUUUUAUUUUUAAUUUUUUUGUUUUUAGUCUUUUUCGAGUCAUGCAAAACAUUGGUGUUUAUGUUUCGAUAAUACUGUUUUAAUCUGUGAUGGAUUGAAGAUUUGGCCCAAGUUUCCUUCUUUAAUUUUUUGUGCUGAGUCCAGCCAUAUAAGGCUCGUAUUUCUCUGACUUUUAAUUUGGAAGUUACAGCUGUUUUUCUAAACAGGGAUCUGGAACUCGAAUUUUUCUGCGAUUCUGUACGGUGUUCUGUAUUUAACGUCAGUUUUCAUGCUGUUCUAUUCUGUUUUCUGUAUUUGGUCUAAAUAAAAGUUGUGCCUUUCUUGUCUAUUUUCUGAGAAUAUAAGGCUUCUCAAAAUCCAUGCAGUACUUUAAGAGAUAAUUGUUGAAAACUGAUCUGAGGUCGAAAUUGAAAAGAAGCAGUUUUUCCGAAAUGUAAAUUCUAGUUAAAUUAUUGCAAGCGCACAAUUCGUACAAGUAAUAUAGAAAUAAGUAGAGUGACGUUCCCACGAAGACUGUAAUUUCCUAUUAACUACCAAUUAUGAUUAAUUUAGAAUUUAUUUGAACAGUUGAUUAAGAAGAUUGAUUGAUUUAAGUAAGCUAAAACAAUUAUAAAAAAUAGCAAUUUAAUUAAUGUUGGAAAAUCAAGAUGAUGAGACACUAGAGCAUCCGAUUUCACCAUAACCAAUUCCACUUAAUUCUUAUAGCCAAUUAACCCUAAUUACUACCCAUGUUGACAGUUGGUUUCUCCUAAUUCAUUCGAUAUUCCAACUCGGGCUCAACCAAAAGUAUUCUUAAUUAACAACACAUUCUCUCUCGAGCAAUGGAUUUAGAAAAUCAAGAACCCAUUAAGUUCUAUGAGAACCUGCAAGAAAACUGCAUGAGUCAUGUUAGUCCCUCUCGGGCACUCAUUCAAGACAUGGUAUCUGUUAUAAGAAGCAAACACCAAACAUCUCCUCUCGGUCUCCUCCUGGAUCAUCAAAUCAAUUAGAUAUUGGCCAGAUAUUCAAAGCAUUAAGAACAAUAACAAAUACUCAACAUGAAAUAGUAAUCAAAAAUUAAUAGAACUACAAAAAUUAAGUAUUCAUGGUUAGACUACAUCGUAGCCCUAGCAAGGAAAAUUAGUUCAUGACAAAAGAAAAGAUAAACAAGAGAAUUGUUGUCAUAAAACCGAUUUGGCAGAUGGACUUGAUCUCUGGAUUCUCCACAGCAACACAGCGACAACAAAUUCUUGGCUCUCUCUCUGAUAUAUUUGUGGGUGUAUGAAAGUUGUAUAUGGGAAGAUGAUAGAAAAUAUGAUCCUCUGAACAGAUCCUUAGGGUGACCUUAUAUAGUGUAAAAUAACUAAACCCUACUCUAAAAAAGUCUAGAAAAACUCUCCUAAAGCCAAACAAAAUCUCAAACAAUUAAGGAAACAAACUAGGAAAGAAUCCUUCUUUGACUAGGAAACACGUCAUCCAACUUGCAUGCAUGUUUUUGGGGUCGUUCCACUUCCUAUAAAAUUCUGGAAAAAUAUGAGAAACGUAGCUUUAUCUCUAAGCUUUCCAAGCAUAUAUUACACGCCACUAGGAAAAAUCGCAAAGCUAUUCAAAUCUUCAAUCUUCCACAGCAAUGCAGUUCUAAUGGGAUUUCAACUUAGGCUGUCUUGACUUGCAGGUCUGGAGCAUUUGACUUGGUAGAAAAUUAUGAAACUUUGACACAAUGAUCUUAAAUAUCUUAGCUUUCUUCUACAAUUGGCCUUGCACUAAAAUUCAUUCGAAAAGUCGACUUUCAGUUGAAAUCCGUCCAAGAGUGCAGAAUAGCUGAAAAUAAGAAAAGUAAAGUAAUAAUACUCAUUUUAAUUAACUUUCCCUACAAAACCUAUAUAUAAAAGGUAUAAAAAUAUAGGAAAUAAUACUCUUUCUUGUUCUUUUUCACAUCCCCAAAUAACAGAGGAUUUUUCAGGUAGAGAUAUCAUUAAGAGAAUUUUUUUUUAUACAAGCGAUAUUUGACUUUAAUCUAAUCUAAACUACAGGAAAGGUGAUUUGAACUCACGUGCAGAGUGGGGAGUACAUCCGCUUUAGCCAACUUGGCUAGACCCAUGUCUUCGUCAUUAAGAGACUUUUGAAUGCAUCUGCUUGCAGAGCCACAGGUUCUAACCAAAAACAUGCGGGAGUUGUGUGCACAACACACAGACUCCACAAACUUAAACGACAAAGUUAUCACCUUCAUACCAAACUGAGAUUUAAUUUUGGAAACUGAAAAGAAUGAUCUUAUAAACAAUAAUUGCAAGCGGAAACGAUAUCAGAAGGCUGAUUUAAUACCUUAAGAGUCCUUGACUUGAUGUUAAUGGAAUUUGUGGCACAGAAGAAAACUAAUGUGCACAAGUACUUACCAAUAGAAAGGACCACAAUCCACAACCAAUAAUGGCCUUGGUUUUUCAGAAACCAGUAAAAAUAAAUAGGCCACAAACUUCAUACUGUGAUUAAUCAAACACAUAGUUGCACUACGUUUUCUUAACAGAAUUUGUCCUUCCCAACAAAAACAUAACUUACACAAAAAUUUACAUACAUAUAGCCUUCUUUCUUAUCAGUAUGGCCAAAUUAAAGCGAUGCAAAACUACAAAUAAGUCCACUAAAAACGAUUGAUAAACAGAAAAUAUGCAACUUAGUACCGAAAAUGAUUUAA